GUUCGGAUGGCUUAGUGGUCAGAGCAUCUGCCUAGUAAGUAGAAGACCCGGGUUCGAAUCCAGGUCUGGCACA